rnacentral:rRNA from 1 species
AUUGAACUCUGGCGGCAGGCCUAACACAUGCAAGUCGAUAGAGCGGCGGACGGGUGAGUAAUGUAUGGGGACUGCCCGAUAGAGGGGGUUAACUACUGGAAACGGUGGCUAAUACCGCAUACUAUCGGAUAACCCCUAUGGGAUUAGGUAGUAGGUGGGGUAAAGGCUCACCUAGGCGACGAUCUCUAGCGGGUCUGAGAGGAUGAUCAUCCCCACUGGGACUGAGACACGGCCCAGACUCCUACGGAGGCAGCAGUGGGGAAUAUUGCACAAUGGGCGCUAUCAUGAGGCAGCCCUCCCGCGUGUAUGAAGCAGGCCUUAGGGUUGGAAAGUACUUUCAUCGGUGAGGCGUUACCCGCCGAGGAAGCACCUGCUCAGUCCGUGCCAGCAGCCGCGGUAAUUC